GAGUUGGACAGGACUGAACGACUAACACUUUUAACAGAAUUGUUAGAGCUAAAAACAAAACCAAAAGCUUGUAUUGGAGAGCACUUGUUUGUCAUGUCUUUGGAGGAAUUUUCUGGUUUUCCUGGAGAGCAGCAUGAACUUGCCUCAUGGGCCUGACUUCCUGCAGACUAGGCAGCCAAAACCUCUUCUAUUUCUCUCUUGGUUUUGGAAGCGGAACUGAAACAGGAAAUGGGAGAGGUCUCAAAUCUUGGUACCACAGUGCUUAGUUCUGUCUUUCUGAAGGCGCUGAAAGAAAGGGAAUCGUAGAUUUGCGUCUGGGCCUUGGGUUGUGAGAGACAGUGGCCGCGCUCUUUCCAAUCAGAGCUUGAACUCUAAGAACUGUAACAGCAUCCGUAUAUCCACUGAAUAGAGGAUGUUUUAAGCGUAAGGGAGCGCCUGAAGAACUGUCUUUCUGAUUAGAAAAGGGAAACGCAUCUUCCCCUGCAAGCCCGGGCCGGGCAGUCGCGGAGCGCGUCUGCGAGGCCCUCGGCGCGGCGCCGCUUCACCGCUUCGGGUGCCCCAGUCCCCGGCCCGGCUCUUCGCGGACGACCCCGCAGCUCGCCCGCCGCCGCCGCCCCCCAGCUUCCCCUCCCCUUGGCAUUGCUUGGCUUUCCCUUCCCGCGGCCUCUUUUCUCGCCCGGCCGGUUGCCGGGNGGUGCAGUGGGCAGUGGCGGCUCCCGCUGCGAAGCUGGGGGAGGAGAGGGGCCCGGGCCUGGCGCGGGAGGCGGCGAGAGACGCUCGCUUCUGUGAGUUCUGCCGGCGGGGGGCCGAGGAAGGCUGUGGACGCGGAGGAGGCCGGGGUGGAGGAGGCCGGGGAGGGGUGAUGAUGGUGUUAAAUGUGGCAGCGCUGCUCCCAGGGGAGCUGCCUGAAAGGAGAGUGCGCUCACCAGCUGACAGCGCGUGCUCCGCUCCAGACGCUCGGCACCGCGGCCAGGAGCCUCUGCCAGCCCCUCUAUUGUCAGCCGUUCUCUAAUUAAGAAACACUCACAUUACGGCAAACCACCCCCACGCUUCUUGGUUCCUGUCCUUUUCUUUAUCUCCCCCCAGACUUCUCUCCUCCCCUGACUCUCCCCUGCGUCCCAGGAUUUAACCCAUUCUCCGCUCCGUUGGCCUUUUCUGGUUCGUGGCCUAGCAGAAGAGGAGGGACCUCCGUGGUCUGCGAUUCUCUUGGGGGUUCUGCUCCGCCUGGGGUGAGGGUGGCUGGUGAGAGCAAUGUCAAAAAAAAAAAAAAGAGGAAAAACUUCACCUUUAUUAUAGCUACUCUACCUCCCAUCUCUCACCC
rnacentral:lncRNA from 1 species